rnacentral:misc_RNA from 1 species
AAAAGGGCAUAAAAAAGAAGAUUAAAGAGACGUUGACCGGAGGCGCUGAAGAAGGUAUACAAACUACUAUUCCUAUUUCUAUUCCUACUCCGACUUCUAGUGGUGAAGUCGAAAAGAAAGGAAUAAUGGAGAAAAUCAAGGAGAAGAUCCCUGGAAUGCACUGAAUGAAUGUUAUAUUUCAAGUAUGUAUGUGUGUCGAUUUUUG